UGUAAGGCGAACAUCGCUGCCCGGAAAGCAGAAGAUGCGGGUUCGAGUCCCGCCUGGCGCA
rnacentral:tRNA from 1 species